UAAUUGGGCGUUAAGUUGCAGGGUAUAGACCCGAAACCCGGUGAUCUAGCCAUGGGCAGGUUGAAGGUUGGGUAACACUAACUGGAGGACCGAACCGACUAAUGUUGAAAAAUUAGCGGAUGACCUGUGGCUGGGGGUGAAAGGCCAAUCAAACCGGGAGAUAGCUGGUUCUCCCCGAAAGCUAUUUAGGUAGCGCCUCGUGAAUUCAUCUCCGGGGGUAGAGCACUGUUUCGGCUAGGGGGCCAUCCCGGCUUACCAACCCGAUGCAAACUGCGAAUACCGGAGAAUGUUAUCACGGGAGACACACGGCGGGUGCUAACGUCCGUCGUGAAGAGGGAAACAACCCAGACCGCCAGCUAAGGUCCCAAAGUCAUGGUUAAGUGGGAAACGAUGUGGGAAGGCCCAGACAGCCAGGAUGUUGGCUUAGAAGCAGCCAUCAUUUAAAGAAAGCGUAAUAGCUCACUGGUCGAGUCGGCCUGCGCGGAAGAUGUAACGGGGCUAAACCAUGCACCGAAGCUGCGGCAGCGA
rnacentral:rRNA from 1 species